AGUGAACGCUGGCGGUAGGCCUAACACAUGCAAGUCGAACGGCAGCACAGUAAGAGCUUGCUCUUACGGGUGGCGAGUGGCGGACGGGUGAGGAAUACAUCGGAAUCUACUUUUUCGUGGGGGAUAACGUAGGGAAACUUACGCUAAUACCGCAUACGACCUACGGGUGAAAGCAGGGGAUCUUCGGACCUUGCGCGAUUGAAUGAGCCGAUGUCGGAUUAGCUAGUUGGCGGGGUAAAUGCCCACCAAGGCGACGAUCCGUAGCUGGUCUGAGAGAAUGAUAGCCCCCACUGGAGCUUGAACACGCACCAGGGUCCUACGGUACGGCCCAGAGUGCAAUGUUGGACAGCGGGGGCGAGUAUUACCCAGCCGUCCCGCGUGGGUGGAAGCAGCGUUCGGUUUGUAAAGCCCUUUUGUUGGGAAAAAAACGCAGCCGGUUAUUACCAAGCUUUUCUGACGGUACCCAAAAAAUAAGCACCGGCUAACUUCGUG
rnacentral:rRNA from 1 species